UAGGGAAUUUUCGUCAAUGGGCGCAAGCCUGAACGAGCGAUGCCGCGUGAGUGAAGAAGGCCUUCGGGUCGUAAAGCUCUGUUGCGGGGGAAAAAAGGAAGCAUCAGGAAAUGGGUGCUGACUGAUGGUGCCCCGCCAGAAAGUCACGGCUAACUACGUGCC
rnacentral:rRNA from 1 species